GAUGAACGCUAGCUACAGGCUUAACACAUGCAAGUCGAGGGGCAUCAGGAAGAAAGCUUGCUUUCUUUGCUGGCGACCGGCGCACGGGUGAGUAACACGUGGGUAACCUGCCUCACACUGGGGGACAACAGUCAGAAAUGACUGCUAAUACCGCAUAAGCGCACGAGACCGCAUGGUUUUGUGUGAAAAACUCCGGUGGUGUGAGAUGGACCCGCGUUGGAUUAGCCAGUUGGCAGGGUAACGCCUACC
rnacentral:rRNA from 1 species